rnacentral:lncRNA from 1 species
UUUUCAGAUUGCUCCUGUGUUUCAUAGAUGGGAAAUCAUACUGAUGACUCAACCAUAUAUAGCAUUAUUUUGCUGGUUCAUGCUACCUCAGCGGAAACAGCUGCCAAAGGUCAUCUGACAUAAUAGCUGAUGAAUUCAAGCCCAGUGGAUUUCAUUUGCAAUUUUCAAUUUACUGAGGCCUCCAAACCCCACGGUGAUAAAAGCUUCCCCUAUCGUGGCCUGUCACAAACAUCAAGAAACUGCACAAACCCACAAGAAAGAAAAAAGAGAAAGCUGUGCAUCAUCACAGCUAUAGAUAAGGAGAACAGGAAGAAAUGGUAUCAUGCAGGAAGGUGGGGAGCAGCCUGUGUGGCUAGUUCUCUAAAUGCCAAUUGAAACGAAAAGACUAUGAGGAACAAUCAAAUAACUUCCACAGAAUAACAACAUGUUUCUUUGGAGCUUUUAUGUGAAAAUUGCCUUCUAAUCUCUGACUUGACAUGCUCCCACACAAAAAUGUAAGUGUAAAUAUGCAAAUAAAUAAAUGAAUAAAU